rnacentral:rRNA from 1 species
GACGAACGCUGGCGGCGUGCCUAACACAUGCAAGUCGUACGGGCUUGGGGGGCAACUCUCAAGUCAGUGGCGAACGGGUGCGUAACACGUGAGUAACUUGCCCUAUGGUGGGGGAUAGCCGGCCCAACGGCCGGGUAAUACCGCAUAUGGCGCUGAGGUCACAUGGCCUUAGUGGGAAAGCGGCCGCAAGGUCGCGCCAAAGGUGGGGCUCGCGACGUAUCAGCUAGUUGGCGGGGUAACGGCCCACCAAGGCUACGACGCGUAGCUGGUCUGAGAGGAUGGCCAGCCACAUUGGGACUGAGAUACGGCCCAGACUCCUACGGGAGGCAGCAGUGGGGAAUAUUGCGCAAUGGCCGCAAGGCUGACGCAGCGACG